GCCGCGAUCGCAUAACCCGGUAUUGCGCCGGCCUUGAGAGCCGGUUCCGUAAGGAAUUCCCAGUUCAAAUCUGGGUCGCGGCG
rnacentral:tRNA from 1 species